rnacentral:misc_RNA from 1 species
UUGGUUUAUGUUUCAUUUACUUUUGGAAUUGCUUCCUAUGGUAAGUUCAACAAUCAAUUCGUGGCUCUUUCUCACGGCCCAAUGGCUUUUUAGACCAUUAGAGGACUGUGGGAUCGAAAUAGAAUGGGUUUUGUACAAAGGGACUUUGGCCUAAGCCGCCAUCCCAAUUUACAGGUUCAGUUCGCGGGACACAAAUAGCUCCCCUUCCCCCAAUUGGAAAAAGGGAAGCUAAAUGCUAAAGUUUUAGGGUGUGGUAAUGAUCCUUCCGCAGGUUCACCUACGGAAA